rnacentral:rRNA from 1 species
GUGUCAGCAGCCGCGGUAAUACGAAAGGUGCGAGCGUUAAUCGGAAUUACUGGGCGUAAAGCGCGCGUAGGCGGUUAGUUAAGUCGGAUGUGAAAGCCCAGGGCUCAACCUUGGAACUGCAUCCGAUACUGGCUAGCUAGAGUGCAGUAGAGGGAGGUGGAAUUUCCGGUGUAGCGGUGAAAUGCGUAGAGAUCGGAAGGAACACCAGUGGCGAAGGCGGCCUCCUGGACUGACACUGACGCUGAGGUGCGAAAGCGUGGGGAGCAAACAGGAUUAGAAACCCUUGUAGUCC